CCAGAUGGCCGGGUGGAGGGGUGCCCGGGGCUUCCACUCCUGAACAGAGGGCUUAGACUGUCCUAGAGUUCAUGGGGAGCCACCUAGCCACACUGGAGCCCUUCAGAGCUCACCCUGGCUGCUGGGUGGAGAAAGGCCUAUAGAUGUCACAGGGAUCCUGAAACUCCGCCACAUCUGGAACCUGAAGUUGAUGCGUUGGACCCCUGCAGCUGCAGACAUCUGCUUCACCAAGGAGCUACACUCCCACUUCUUCAGCUUGGGCAAGUGUGUGCCUGUGUGCCGAGGAGCAGAAUUUUUCCAAGCAGAGAAUGAGGGGAAAGGUGUUCUAGACACAGGCAGGCACAUGCCAGGUGCUGGAAAAAGAAGAGAGAAAGGAGAUGGCGUCUACCAGAAGGGGAUGGACUUCAUUUUGGAGAAGCUCAACCAUGGGGACUGGGUGCAUAUCUUCCCAGAAGGUCAGCAGGGCUGACUGGGUCGAGCCCCCCCAGUAUGAGCGGGAUGGGCUCCCAAGCUUCGCCUCUGUGCUCUCUCACCAGGGAAAGUGAACAUGAGUUCCGAAUUCCUGCGUUUCAAGUGGGGUAAGGGCUGCUGGUCUCUGGCCACAGCCAUCCUCCCGGCCCAGAGAUGGCCCUGUGGGCCCCUGGCUCCCGCCCCCUCGGGCUGGGUUGUAUGGGGGUAGAUGGGCGUGUUGUAGCGCCAGGAAGGGGACAGGUGCUGAGACUAGGCCUGCCUCUCGCAGGGGCUUGCCCAAGGGAGCUGAAUUGAACUGGAGGAUGUCGGGGG
rnacentral:sRNA from 1 species